GGAAGGAGAAAGAAGGAGGAACACGUUCCUCUUUCUUUUUUCUAAUUCCUUUCUUUCCUUCCUCUUUCCCUCCCUUUUUGAGGGUGAUAAAUCCGAACAAUUGAAAGAAAAAAUAACAAA
rnacentral:ribozyme from 13 species